GCCUUGAUCUUUGUAGCAUAUGAGGUCUUUGAAGUAUCCCAGGGUGGGAUUUCCUGGAAGAAGGCAAUGAAAGAAGUUGAGGUGGGGCCCUGUCAGCAGUGGUCCUAUCCCCAGUCAGAGUAAUGGGAGUGCAAUGCAGGGAGCUUCAAGCAGAGAGGUAGAGCCAUAGAGAGCUAGGGAGAGGCCAGAACCUCCCAGCUUAGAGCCCCUCAGACUUGUAUUUGCUUCCAGCUUCAAGUCUGGAUAGUCAGAAGUUUGUGACAGUGCCCUCCAGUGAUGAAGUGGUAACUAACCUGGAAGUGCUGACAAGCAAAUGCCUCCAUGGGAAGAACUACUGUCGACAGGUCCUCUGUCUGUAUGAUCUUGCCAAGGAGUUGGGCUGUUCCUACACAGAUGUUGCUGCUCAGGAUGGUGAAGCCAUGCUCCGGGAAAUCUUGGCCUCUCAGCAGCCUGACCGAUGCAAACGAGCCCAGGCCUUCAUCAGCACACAGGGCCUUAAGCCAGAUACUGUGGCUGAACUCGUGGCAGAAGAGGUGACACGGGAGCUGCUUACUUCAUCACAGGGAACAGGUGCCCUACCCCCCGGGGAUUCCCAACCUCUCUGACAGCAUUCUCUAGCUCCCAGUGUUAAGGAUUUGGAUGUUGUGCUUAUAUACAUCCUGUAUGUGGUUCUCUCAAGUUUCUGGAUUGCAGUAUUUUGUUUAAAUAAAACAAAAUACAUGCUUUAUUUUUUACAAAAUACAUGUACAAAAUA
rnacentral:sRNA from 1 species